rnacentral:rRNA from 1 species
UACGUAGGGUGCGAGCGUUGUCCGGAAUUAUUGGGCGUAAAGGGCUCGUAGGCGGUCUGUUACGUCGGGAGUGAAAACUCAGGGCUCAACCCUGAGCCUGCUUCCGAUACGGGCAGACUAGAGGUAUGCAGGGGAGAAUGGAAUUCCUGGUGUAGCGGUGAAAUGCGCAGAUAUCAGGAGGAACACCGGUGGCGAAGGCGGUUCUCUGGGCAUUACCUGACGCUGAGGAGCGAAAGCGUGGGGAGCGAACAGG